GUAAAGCGCACGCAGGCGGUCUGUUAAGCUAGAUGUGAAAGCCCCGCGCUCAACGUGGGAGGGUCAUUUAGAACUGGCAGACUAGAGUCUUGGAGAGGGGAGUGGAAUUCCAGGUGUAGCGGUGAAAUGCGUAGAGAUCUGGAGGAACAUCAAUGGCGAAGGCAACUCCCUGGCCAAAGACUGACGCUCAUGUGCGAAAGUGUGGGUAGCGAACAGGAUUAGAUACCCUGGUAGUCCACGCCGUAAACGAUGUCAACUAGCCGUUGGGACACUUGAUGUCUUAGUGGCGCAGCUAACGCGAUAAGUUGACCGCCUGGGGAGUACGGUCGCAAGAUUAAAACUCAAAUGAAUUGACGGGGGCCCGCACAAGCGGUGGAGCAUGUGGUUUAAUUCGAAGCAACGCGAAGAACCUUACCUACACUUGACAUCCAGAGAACUUUCUAGAGAUAGAUUGGUGCCUUCGGGAACUCUGAGACAGGUGCUGCAUGGCU
rnacentral:rRNA from 1 species